rnacentral:rRNA from 1 species
AAUGGGAUGCGAAUCUCGAAAGACCUGUCUCAGUUCGGAUUGGAGGCUGAAACCCGCCUCCAUGAAGUUGGAUUCGCUAGUAAUCGCGCAUCAGCCAUGGCGCGGUGAAUACGUUCCCGGGCCUUGUACACACCGCCCGUCAAGCCAUGGGAGCCGGGGGUGCCUGAAGUUCGUGACCGCAAGGAGCGACCUAGGGCAAAACUGGUGACUGGGGCUAAGUCGUAACAAGGUACC